rnacentral:misc_RNA from 1 species
UCCAUCAAAUUUAUUAUGAUAUGAAUUAUUUAAAAAAUGUUGGUGAAUUUAUUGAACAAGUAAUUGACUCGUUAUUGUGACGCAGUGAUGUAAGAAAUCAUUGAACCAAACAUGAGUGUGUCAACUUUUAACAUCAAUUUGUAACACUUGAAUUUUAUUAAAAAUGGAUAUUAAAAGACGAUCCAUCGAUGGAAGCUUGUUGGAGCAAGCUUUGCCCAUCCCGAUACAGCUUUACCUUUGGCGUCAAAUGAGACCAUUUACAAGAGCAAAACUUGGUAAAGUCCACGAGGCAUCAUGUUUGUUUUGUCAAAAUGCACCUGGUCAUCAUGAAAUGAAAGAGGCCAGUACAUCAUUUGAAAAAGUACUUGUUCAAAGUCUUCAUAAUGAAUUGACACCAUCGUUGACUGAAAUAUUGAGUUCAGUACCACGUUGGCGUUUGAUUCAAUCUGCACUACCGUAUGUUCUUCAUUCAGCUGGAAAUCUUUUGCACAACAGAAAAGAUUUACAGCACAUUGGAACGAUGGAAACAACUCUUCUUUACAUUUUGCAUUGGUUUUUACUUGAUGCUGCUGAAGAAUGUGCUGAAAGUGAUAUGGAAACUGGAACUCCUAAUAAUCCAUUUUAUUAUCUUUAUUCAAUACCAACAAUUACGUUAUUUGUUUAUCUAUUUGCUCCUCUUUGUAAUCACUUGAAAGAUAUUGAUUUUAAGACAAAUUUACGAUUGGAAAAUGGAGUUAAAAUUUGGACACCUAUGAGUGAAUUUAAACAUCCAGAAACAGCUUGUUUUACAGCUCAUUGUAAACCCAAACCAAGAUCACUUUGGUUGAAAACAUCAAAAAUGAAUAAACAACAACAGCGAGUUUCUACUGAUAUUUUUGUUGGCCCAAAAAAAGAAAAAAAUGAAGUUUUUAAUGAUGAUGGUAGCCCACCUAAUGUAGGAGUAAAUAUGUGUUUUCCUGAUCAUAAUACUCCAAGUUCUACUAAGCAAGAUGACGAAAAUAAUUGGGUUUCAUCGCCUAAAGAUACAGUAUUUCCUGAAACAAUACCAGAAGAAAGUUCAAGCACUGAAGAUGAACACGUGGUCAUUUUUCGGCUACCAUCACUAACUGAAUCCGAACAAGAAAUGGAUGGUGUUAAAGAAAUUUUUACAAUAUAUGCAGAAGGAGCAAGUAUAUUUCAUAUCGCAAUGGGAAGAUCAACUGGUUCCAAGCAAACACUGACAAUAGAACAAGUUAGUCCUUCAUCAGAAUCUGAACCAAAUGACGAUAAUAAAUCAUCAACAAAGUUUGUAUUUCCUGAUAAAACAAACGAUGAAAAAGAUAAAAAAGCUGAAAAAGAUGAAUCAAAAUUAAAACGAGAUACAUCAGAUUCUCGUGGUGCAUUAUCAGCUGAUGCAAGUGGUAUUCAACCAUCAAAUCGUGAAGCUGUUGUAGAUGUUCAUGCUGCAACAUUUAUGGAUGUUGGAGUACUCAGAUGUCUUUUUGUUUCACAAUGGCAAGAAGAAGGAGUUUAUUGGGCUUUACAAUAUUUAUAUAAUCGUUUAAGAAAAAUUGAUGAUGAAACAACAGUACAACAAAUGCCAAGACGACGAAGUAAUUCAUUGCCAAUUCCAAAAAUUGAAGUAUCAAUAUAUCAAAGUCCUGAAAGCAAAAAAAGAGAUGAUUCAAAAGAAUGUAUUGAUCCACCUGAACCACCUGUUACAAUAUCAGAUUCAGCUGCAGAUAUUUCUUAUAAUGUAUCAAAAAAUCAACAAGAAAUUGAAGAACAUCAUAAUCAUUUUAGACGUGCUAGUGAAAAAGCUAAAAAAAAAAUGAAAAUUGCUGAUCUUAGAGCUUUUGUUGAGACAAAGCUAUUAUCAAAAUCAGAAAAAGCACUUGAAAAAAUUGGACAAGAAGAAAACAAAGAUUUAAUGGAACAACAUGAAGAUUAUCACAGAAGUCUUGAUACUGGAGAUGAUCAUUUAGUUCGACAAGCAUCAACGUCAUCUCGUAUUUCUGAUGAAUCCAAUGUCGAUCAAAUGCAGUAUCCAUCGAAUCUUACAAAAGGAAAAAGCAUGCCAAGUCUUAGCUGUUUGAUAAAUGAGCUGAACGCGAGUGGGUACAUUGGUGAUAAUGAUGAGGAAAAAAAGCAGGCUGCAGUACGACUGCACAGCCAAUCAUCAACAGUACCAAAUCCUAUUAUAACUGUUACCGAACAUACACCAACACCAUCACCAGAUUAUUUAAAACGACAGGGUUCAAUAGACAGUCAACUAGAUGCAAUAAGUAUGCAUGGUAAGCUAAAUUCUGAUAGAAAACCAAGCUUGACAAGAUCACAGACUGAUUCAAACAUCACUUAUACUGGUGAGGAAAUACCAGAAGCACCAGGUUCAGCUUCUUACAUAACAAAACAAGGUGACAUUGAUUAUUAUGUAAUCUUAAAGGCUGUACAUUCAGUUGCUUUGAGAGAUGCUACUUUUUGUACUCUUCGUGUUAGUGAAAUUAUAUUAAAUUUAAUGGAAUUAUUAAUGGAAAUAGGAGUACUUAAACAAUGUUUACGUGAUGAUAAUGGUAGUAAUGCUGAAUCAGGAACUGAUGUUAAUGAAAAAAUUGAAAAAGGUAGCAGAAAACAUGAAUCACCAGUUAAUGAACAAGAUCCACAUUAUGAUCCAGAUGGACGUAAUUGGAAUGCACAUGCAUUGAUGAUGAAUUGUGUACUUCGUGUUAUAAAACAUUUAGGCUGUCCAAAUGGCUGUGCUGAAAGUAUACGUGGUCCACAAGCUGAAUUUUGUAGAUCUCAAGCUCAUACAAUAAUUAAUAAACUUCAUCGUGCUAGUUCAAAAUUAUUUACUCGUUGGCUACGUAAUAUGGUACGAGAUCAACCACUAUCAGAUAUCAUUGAUGUUUUUCAUGCGUAUCUUGGUUUUUGCGUUGAUCCAAGUUCGUUAUUAUCACCUCUUAUUGCAAAAAAAAGUGCUAAUAAAUCACCAGAUACAGCAACACAAGGAGGAUAUGCUACGAAUUUUGGUGCUGGUCUUGGUGCUGGUUUUGGAUCAAUUGGUUUAUCAACAUGUAUUCCAACAGCAUCAAUAUCAGCAACUGCUGCUGCUUUAGCCUCAGCAACAGCAGCAUCAGCAACUGCUUCUUAUGGUGGAGUUGGUUAUACAUCAAGAAAUUCAGAAAAUCAAAUUCUUGGAUGUGUUUUUAAAUUACUUGUUACUCGUUUUGUUAAAGAUAUUAAAAUACUUAAAACUGCUGAAAAUAUAUCAUUAUAUUGUGAUAUAAAACAAUUUGUAACAUAUGUUAAAGAAGCACAUGGUGGUGUAUUUAGAAGAGUUGCAUUAAGUGGUAUUUUAGAUUCUUCAGAUAGACCAAAUAAACGUUGUACAAGUUGUGUUAAAACAACAAGAGUUAUACGACAUAUACAUCAAGAAUUUGAUGAUAUGGGUGAUCUUGCUGAUACAUGUUAUACAGUAGAUGAAAAAGGAAAUAGAAAAUUUCUUUUUAAAAAAAGAAGUACAUCAUCAAAUUGUGCUCAACCUGAUUUUUUUGGAUUACAGAGUCUUCUUGAGGCUGAACUUAGUGAUGAUAAUGCUAAAAUAAGUCAAAGUCCAUUAGGUAAUUUACGAAAAAAACAUCAUAUGCUUACACCAAGACAGAGUGAAAGAAAUUUAAGAAUAAGUGAUCCAUCUUUGGGUGGUUCAAGAUCAAGAAAAGCAACGAGAUUUCAAAUUGGUGGUAUAGUUAAUUGGUUUCGAAGAGAAUAUAGCAGAACAGAUUCAACAGACAGUCAUGAUAGUAGUGAAUCACCAACAGAAGCAAGUUUUAUUCGUCAAUCAAGUUUUUAUCGUGGACAUUAUCGUUUAACUGGUCGUUCUAGUAGAGGAGUUAGUCAUACAUUCCAAAGAGCAAAAAGAAGAAUGGAAAAUCAAUUAAAUAAAAUUGGCUUUAGAAAAGGAAAUAAAAAAGAGAGCGCAGACGAAACCCCACGAAAUUACUUUAGUAGAAGAACAUCAACAGAAUUUGGAGAAGGCUCAAGAGAGUCAGAAUUUGUUGUAUUAAAAGAACGACGAUUAAUACCACAAUUUGCAGUUUUUGAAGGAAUGCAACGUUUUUCAUUUCUCUUGGAAAUUUGUCAACCAGGUGCAGUACCAGAUCAUCAUUUAAUUGCAGCAAUUUUAGAUUUACCAUAUGCACCAGUUGUUGCACGAGCAUCAUUACUGCUUGAAUGUGCUCAUCUAGUACAUCAAUGUAAUAAAGGACAUUGGCCAACUUGGAUGAAAAUUAAUUUCACAUCAUCUCGUCCAUCAAUGCCAAUGGGAAAUAGAAAUAUUCCAACUGGACUUAGACGUACACAUGUAUUACAACGAGCUGCUGGAAAACUUUUUUACCAGUGGGCUGAGGCAAUUGGUACACGCUUGGAACAAUUUAUUGCUGAAGACAAGCUAAAUGUUGAUCAAAUUGUUGCUAUGGUAUCUGAUGAGAGUAAACAAAGAGAUUUAAUAAUUGAAGAUGAAGAAGAAGACUUUCUCGAUGAAGCAAGUAUAAAUGGAUAUGGAUCUCAGUGUCCAGUGUCACUUCGUAUGGUAGCAUGUAUGCUUUUACUUGAGAUAACAGCAUUUCUUCGUGAGACAUACCAGAGUCUACCAAAAUCAAGUCGUCUUUCAGCCAAGGAACGUCCACCACCAUGGGAAAGAAUGUACAGUCGUGAGGCAAAUCGUCGCUGGAGUAUGGCAUUAUCAUCAAUGGGACAUUCACAAACUUCAGCUCAGAGUCUACAAUCAAUUGCUGGUGAUCGUGAGACUGGUGAGUUGAUGAAAGAAGCUAUCGAAAAAGGCAAUUGGGAUAAUGCAAAUCCUAUCACAAAUCAUCAACCAUCUGAUUCAAUUGCCCUCGACUUUCGUUCAGAACGAAAAAUCAGCUUUGUAUUGCACGAGCCUGAUAACGAGUCCGAAGGUAGCAGUAAGUCAACAGCAACAAUACAUGGAGAUGAUGUACAAACAAGUGAUCGUGAUAAAAAAAGAGGAGUUCAAACAACAUCAGGAAGACCAUUUUUAUUACGUAGAGGAACUACUGCUGGUGCAGCAACUGGCUCAUUCAAACGUAGAAGUUUAAAAUUACGUCGUGGUACUAAGGAAGGCAAAGACAUGGAAUGUGAGGCUUUUGUUCGAUCAAUAGAUGCAGUAAGACGUGCUGAUUCAAUUCAAUCAAAAAGAAAAGUCAGCUCAUUGUCAGAUAGAAGUGAUGGAUCAGAACCUGGUUAUUUUGGUGAAGUUAGUGGUGAAGAAUCACCUGGUAUAUUGAGUGAUGAUCAACCACCAGAAAGUCCAAGUGAUUCAAAUGAUACUGAUGAUUCAAAUAAAAAUUUUCCAUGGUUAAAAGUACUAGUACAAACAGCAAAUUCAUUUAAUUUUUAUUGCUCACAUCAAAAUUUUUGUCAUCCAUAUUGUCAUCGUCGACAAAUGCGAGCAUGUAGCAGAUUAAUUAAAUCUGUUAGAAAAGUUUAUGGUGAUGAAUUUGGUAUUAUUAAUGGAACUAGUACAUUUGAUUUUGAUUCGGAUUCUAAUAAAAAAGAAGAAAGAAAAAAAGAUAAACGUGGAAGAAAUCCAUCUGAUCAAACAAGUACUCAAGUAUCACCAAUAAGAAGAAAAGAUAGUCUUGGUCGAAAAUUUAAAAUUGACAAAAGUUUUGAAGGUUCACAAUCUGGACGUGUUACUGGUAAUCGAGAUUCUUCAAAAGAUCUUGCAGAUCAAGAUUCAGAACGAGGUCAAGAUUCAUUAAAAAAAAAUGGUGUUGAUAAUGACAAUGAAACAGAUAAAGAAACACCAGCUAUACUAAAAUAUAUAAAAACUCAAGUUAAAGAUAUUUUUCAUGCACCUUUAGCAACUCUUGUAAAAGGAGCAGUAGCAAUGUCUGAAGAUCUUUUUGUUGAUGUAUUACCAGUUGCAUGGGAACUAUUAUUAGAAUCAAAUCAAGAAGUUGUUGCAUCAUCAGUUGCAUUAUUUAUUGUAGCAGCAGUACGAGCACCAAAUCAAGCAAGUGAAAUAAUGCAUCAUAGUCUUCAACAUAGUAGUGCAGCUGUUAGAAUAAAUGCAAUAUUAAGAUUUCAAAUUUUAUGGAAAUUACGUUAUCAAGUAUGGCCAAGAAUGGAAGAAUCAGCACAUCUUACAUUUAAAGUACCACCACCAGGAAUUGAAUUUACAUUACCAUCACCAAAAAUUGGAAUUGAAUCAUUGCCUGUUGUUGAUCCUCCAUGGAUGCCACAAGUUAAAACAAAAGUUGAAGAAGUUACAAUUAAUCAAGAACGUCAUAGAUCACUUGUAACAGCAACAAAAACACGUAAAAAACAACAAACAGAAUUAAUUAAAAUGGCAUUACAAGCACAAGAUGAUAAAAAACGUGAAGAACGUGAAAAUUUUUUAAUUACAACAAUACCAAUAACUGUACAAGCUGCAUAUGAACCAAGUCCAGUUGGUGAUGAUCAUGAUGAAGGAAAUGUUGAUGAUGAAGGUGGUGAAACAGCACCGCGAAAUACUUCUCAUCAUAAUCAAUCAGCUCUUUCAUUAUUUCCAUCAUCUUUAUGUUCAGCAAUUGUACAAAUAAUUAAUCUUCUUGAUGAUGCUGCUGUUUCUGAUGAUGGUAAUGCUGUUUAUGAAGUUGCCUAUCAAGUUAUAUGGAGUUGUCUUGUUGAAGACAGUGCAUUAUUUCUUCGUUAUGUUCUUGAACGAUUAACACGUGAAAAACAAGAAUUAAUGUUUAAAAUUUUACGACAUUUAAUACGUUUUGUACCAAGAUUACCACAACAAGCAGCAUUUGCAUUGUAUAAUUAUAUUAUUGGAUAUGUCAUGUUUUAUGUACGAUCACCACAUGAAGAAGGUCAAAAAUUUAUUGGAACAGCUUUGUCAAUACUCUGGAUGGUUGUUCACUCGGUUCAUGGAAUAAUGUUUAAAGAUUUAAAACAAAUAUUAAGAAAAGAGCAGUGUGAUGCAUCAAUACUCUUGACUGCUAAUGUUCCUUCGGCGAAGAAAAUCAUCGUGCAUGGCCCUCAAGAUCCUGACGCUGGUGGAAUUCCUUCGCAGUUUCCUGUUCAGGAAGACACUCAGUUUUGUCAGAUUCUCAGGGAAUCCUUGGAUUUCUUCGGUAUCGAGGAACAAAAGCAUAAAGAGUAUUUUUUAGUUGACUAUAAAACACAUCAAAUUCAUAAUCCUUCCUCGUAUGUUCGAGAUUAUUACUUUUUUAAAAGAUCACAAUAUCCACAGCUUGAACUUGUUCAUAUGAAACCAGAAGAUGCCUUUAAUGCCUUGCAGAAACAAGAGUUAGUUCACAAAUUUGUUGAAAUUGGUAAAGUUUUGCUGACUUGGGCAAUUUUGAAAAAUGUCGAUAUGGUAGUUCAAAGAGUUGUUUUUUUACAUGAAGAACUUAUGAAGCUACCAUCUUUUCCAAGAAAAGCACUUGAAGCAGAUCUUGAUUUAUAUAAAGGUGGUGAAAUUGGAAGAGAAUUACUUGGACUUGAUGUGAUGCAUAAAUUUAUGUGGGUUAGAUUAAUUGCAAGAAUGUUUGAAGCAAUGGCUGGUAAUUUUGCCUAUUCAGGUGAUAUACAUUUAUUUUUAAAUGUAUUAAAUGGAGCACUUGUUCUUCACAGUGAAGAUUCAUGUAUUCUUCGUUAUGUUGUAGCAACAUAUAUUAAUGCUGCACAUAAUUUUAAAAAUAUAUUUUCAACAAAUGGAUAUCUUUUAAUAAUGCCAUCAUUAUUACAACUUUAUGCAACACAUCAAACAAAUAAACUUGUAACAACAACUGUUGAAUAUGCAGUAAAACAAUUUUACAUGAUGAAUCGUAAACCAUUUAUAUUACAAAUGUUUGGAAGUGUCUCAACCAUAUUGGAUACAGAUGAAUCAGCAACUCAUGGUGAUGCUCAUAAAGUACCAUCAACUUGUCUUUUCAAUCUGUUACUAAGUUUAGAAACACCAUCACCAGAUCCACUUAAUAUUGGUGAAUUGGUAAAAGAAGAAAAACCCCUCAAAGCCAUUGAUUUUUGUUAUCAUGAUGAAAGUGAAAUGGUCACUGUUCUUGACUGUAUAUCAUUGUGUGUCAUGGUCAUAGCAUAUGCCGCAGAUUCCAUUAGAGGACAGCAGAUGUUGAUUAUACUUGAGGCAAUUUUACCUUGUUAUAUUAAACAAAUUCAAUCACCAUCAUAUAAUAAAGAAGGUAAAACAGAAAAAGAAAUAAUUAAUCAAGUUGCAAUUGCUGUUAAGACAUUGGUUAAUAAUUCCGAAGCUUUGACAAAAUAUUAUAAUGGUCCACAAAAAUCAAGUCCUGAGCAUAAAGGAUCAAGUCAAAGAAAUUAUGGUAAAGGUCCAUAUUCACCUGGUUUUGAUUUUGAGGAUGAAACACAUACUGCAAAAUAUAUGGAACAUACAAAAGCAAGAAAUAUUUAUGAACGUGAUAAUGAAGAUUCUGAAAAUUCUCAUAAAACUGAAUUUCGAAGACCACGUGAUACAUUAUUAAAUAUGGUUGGUGAAUAUGUAGCAAAAUGUACAGUAAGAUUAGCUGAGCUUAAUAAAAAAUUACCAGAUGGUAAAACAAUUGAAUUAUUAGAUUCAAAGUGUCACAUAAGAUUGGCAGAAAUAGCACAUAGUUUACUUAAAGUAUCACCAUAUGAUCCUGAUACAAUGGCUUGUCGUGGAUUAAGAAGAUAUAUGAAUGAUAUAUUACCAUCAACUGAAUGGUCAAGUGAUGAUAUGAGACCAGCAUUGAUAACUCUUCUUCGUCGUCUUGAUAAAACAUUUAGUAAAAUUUAUAAAAAAGCAUCAAUACGUAGAAAUACUGAUUGGCAAGCAGCAAGUGAUUUAUUAAAAGGUGUUUAUGAAACAUUAUCACGUUAUCAAUAUAUUGCACAUUAUCAAUAUCUUAAAACAUUAAUAAGUACUUGUCAAGCAUUGAUUAUUGGUGAUAUGGCACUUGUUGAAGUAACAUCAGCAGCUUCAGUUGCUCUUAUGAGUAAAAUACCACCAGCACAUUUUUGUUCAUCUGUUUUACGAUUGAUUGCACUUUAUGUUAUAUCAUUAGGUGAUGGUUAUACAUUGGAAAAUAUUAGUGGUGGUAAUGCAAUGUUUGCUUCACAAACAAGAACAGAAAAUAUGUUACUUAAUUUAUUGAUACCAUUAUUUUUACGUGUUGGUACUGGACGUAAAGAUAUACCAAAAUUACGUCAAUCUGAUAUUAGUUUUGCAUUAAUGGCAGUUUUAAAUACUCUAUGGCCAACUGGAACAAAAACAGCUCCAAUAACUGUACAAAAUUUAAAAGCAACAACAGAUAUUAGAACAGGAAGUUUAACAUUUGCUGCAAGAGAUCAAAAAAUUUCAACAAAAAUAUCAUUGUCAUUGUAUCGUGUUGCAUUUCUUGCACUUAAAAUAAUGACAAUAUGUUUUGAAGUUGAAUUAAAAACUGAAUGGAUGAAAAUAUUAAGAACAAUGCGUUUAUUAAAUAAACGAAAUGAAGCAUCAAUUCAUUUAUGGAAUUUUCUUGAAUUUGUUGUAACACAUCGUACUGCAUUAUACAUACAAAUGUUACCAUUUAUUGUACAUAAAAUUGGUCAACCACCAAUAUCAGAACAUGAACGUAAUAUGCAAAGUCUUAUACGUGGAAAAAUAAAUGGUGAUAUUAUGGCAUUUCCAAAAUCAAGAGGUACAUUAAUUGGUAAUUUAUUACAUGAAUUACGUGAUUUAAAAGAAGAAAUUGAAGAUAGAAAAUUUGAUGAAUUACAACCAGAACCAAAAAGAAGUGUUGUUGAUAUGCAUGCAAAUGCACCAAAUGAUGGACAAUCAAGAACACAAAGACCAUCAUUAUUAAUUGAUUUAUUAACUGGUGAUUUGGGUUCACGUGCUCAUAUUAAUCGUACACCUGCUGAAACACCUGGAUCACAAUCAACUGCAAUUGGAUCAUUGCCACAUUCAAUACAUAAUUCAAUUCAUUCUAGUAGUACAACUAAAUCUUCAGCACAAAGUUUUGCAUCAGCGCCACCAAUACAAGGAGCUCGAGUUGAUCAGCGAGGUUCAGUAUCUAGUCACAGUGGUGGAUCAUCAACAAUAAAAGAAGCUGGUGAAAUUACACCAAAUGAUAGUCAAUCUAAUCAACAAAUAACAACAGCUAUGCUAGCUAGGGAACGGAGACAGAUCCCAAUCAUCUUCUACUUGUGAUAAACGUAACAAUGAUACUCAUCAUCCUAUCGUUACAUUUCAAAAGACGCCUAAACUACGCUUUUUAUCUUCUGUAGAGUUUAGAAACUCAUCAGGAGAAAUAGUCAAGAGUCAACUAAGUCCGAACAGUCCAACCAAAGACAGCUCAAGCGAAUCAAAACCAGACAGGCCUCGUUUGCAGCGUUCGAUGGGACAAAGCAAGAGAACU